UGGGGAAUAUUGGGCAAUGGGCGAAAGCCUGACCCAGCGACGCCGCGUGAAGGAUGAAGGUCUUCGGAUUGUAAACUUCUUUGAUCAGGGAAGAAAGAAAUGACGGUACCUGAAAAACAAGCCACGGCUAACUACGUGACAGCAGCCGCGGUAAUACGUAGGUGGCAAGCGUUGUCCGGAUUUACUGGGUGUAAAGGGCGUGUAGGCGGGGAUGCAAGUCAGAUGUGAAAUCCCGCGGCUCAACCGCGGAACUGCAUCUGAAACUGUUUUUCUUGAGUGUCGGAGAGGAAAGCGGAAUUCCUAGUGUAGCGGUGAAAUGCGUAGAUAUUAGGAGGAACACCAGUGGCGAAGGCGGCUUUCUGGACGACAACUGACGCUGAGGCGCGAAAGCGUGGGUAGCAAACAGG
rnacentral:rRNA from 2 species